UACCUCUGUAUCCGUUGAACGAAACCGAAAACUUGAUAGCAUAAAACCCGCUGAACUUCAUUCAACUGCAAAACUUUCGCACUUUGUCAUUCUUGCACGCACAACUUGGAAUCCAAUCUCAACCCAUUUUUCACUGAGUUCUUGGUACCUUUUCUGUUGAAUUUGAAGGUUUUUGAAAUCUAGGUUAAGAGAGUUUUCGUUAGAUGAGUAACCAGAGGAAGAGGAAUUUUCAGAGAUUGAGCGCGUUCAAGCCACAGAGUCUUAUCUUGCGAUCCGAUGAUAGCCGAACAUACUUGGAAGAUUCUGGAGCCAUGCAAUUCAGAUGAAUAUAUAAUAAGAAUGCUAGCAGUCUCAGUUUUGAAGACCUUACAGGGUUUUUUUUUCAUGAUUUUUUUCUUACUGUUGUUGAUUCUUAGAAAACUUUGUUUUACCUGUUAUUGUUAUUAUGAUGAAUUGAUGAUUGAUUUUGAUCAUAAUUUUGUAAUUGUUUAGCUUGUGUUUUGAGAUAUGUAGUUGUAUUGUAGUUGUUGUUGAGUUUUUUUAGGGGUUUAUGAAAUGAUUGAAUUGGUGUAUAUGAAAGCAAAUCCAAGCAUUCGUGUUUACUACUUAGGGGAUGUUUGGAAGAGCUUAUAUGCUUAGACGGAAUUAUGAAAACAGUUUUGAUUAGUUCCUUCAAAUCACUUGUUAUUUUUUGAAAAAAAUUGCUUAUUCUCCCUGCUUUCAGAUUAUGUAGAGUU
rnacentral:lncRNA from 1 species